rnacentral:rRNA from 1 species
GACGAACGCUGGCGGCGUGCUUAACACAUGCAAGUCGAACGGAAAGGCCCUGCUUUUGUGGGGUGCUCGAGUGGCGAACGGGUGAGUAACACGUGAGUAACCUGCCCUUGACUUUGGGAUAACUUCAGGAAACUGGGGCUAAUACCGGAUAGGAGCUCCUGCUGCAUGGUGGGGGUUGGAAAGUUUCGGCGGUUGGGGAUGGACUCGCGGCUUAUCAGCUUGUUGGUGGGGUAGUGGCUUACCAAGGCUUUGACGGGUAGCCGGCCUGAGAGGGUGACCGGCCACAUUGGGACUGAGAUACGGCCCAGACUCCUACAGGAGGCAGCAGUGGGGAAUAUUGCGCAAUGGGCGGAAGCCUGAUGCAGCAACGCCGCGUGCGGGAUGACGGCCUUCGGGUUGUAAACCGCUUUCGCCUGUGACGAAGCGUGAGUGACGGUAAUGGGUAAAGAAGCACCGGCUAACUACGUG